GGGGAAGAUGGUGUGGCAUGUAAAAUAUCUGCUAGCAGAGAGCUAGGGACAAAGCGGAUAGAUUAUGCUAUUAGCAUUUAAACAGAACACACAGUUUGAGUUAAUCUAAUGCAGUGCCGGCCAGAUAGAAACUUCUAUAAUUUGCGACUGGCUCAUGAGAACAAGUAACCAGUAAACUGCAGAUUUUUUUUUUGGCUUACAAAAUUGUAGUACACAAAAAAUUCAGCAACCUCUGUGGAUCUCAUACAAUAUUCAUGGAACCAGCAGGUGUCAAAGGCCUGCAGAAUAAAAAGAUAUAUCAGAUAAUUCAUUGCAACAAUAAGCUGCAUUCAAUAGAAGUCAAAGCAUUUCGAUCUAUUUUCCACCGCUCUCCCUUAAAAUGGAUCUAUAGAAGAGCUUGAAGUCAAGAACCUAACAACAAAAGGAUUUGUUUAAGAAAGAUGGAAACUUCUAUGCACAGUAAAUUAUUCGAAAGUUCAAAGCCCACACCACAGUAACUCUUUGGGAUUCCCAGCCCACAGUUCAGAGAUAAACCACAAGACUGACCACGGGGUGGGGUUUAACUUCAAACCCAUGGUUCAGUAAACCACACCAAGGAAGCAUCAAACAUGUCACCCUAGCUAGUUUCACGGCCGGGAAACAAAGGUUGAUUUUGUCAACCGGGUAAAGGACAAACAUGUCAGCCACUAAGACCACAUCAACACAUUGAAAUAAGCUACGGAAUACAGCAUAAUGCCCCCAAUCCCUCUUAGAAAACUCAGCCAUCCUCUAACGCACUAGGAAGAUUUGGACAUCAGAGACAAGGGGAACAUGACAAGGCCCCCACUAAACCCAACAUCCCAACAUCGCGCCUCCCCUUAUAUUCAGACACCAGCUCCUCCCCCAAAGUUCAGACCAGAGUUUAGAACACCUGCAAAGAUACUUUUGCCCUCGAUCUAUUCUUCCCAAUGGAGCUCCAGUUCCAGCUGCCACAAAGCCAUCCCCAGCAGCAAUGCACCUACCAGCUGCCAGUCACAAAGGAAACCAAGCCCAGCCCCAGAGUGAGAAGCAAAUGUGGUGGUGGUGGUGGUGGUGGCGGCGGCGGCGGCGGCAAGUUCGUGGGCGUCAGGCAGAGGCCCUCGGGGAGGUGGGUGGCCGAGAUCAAGGACACCACCCAGAAGAUUCGGAUGUGGCUCGGCACAUUCGAGACCGCCGAGGAGGCGGCGCGGGCCUACGAUGAGGCCGCUUGCCUCCUCAGGGGCGCAAACACGCGCACCAACUUCGCCGCUGGCGCGCACGCCUCAUCGCCGGACUCACCACUCGCGGUGAGGAUCCGCGGCAUCCUCAACCACAAGAAGCUGAAGAAGAAUGCGGCCCCGCCUACCGUUAAUUUCUUCCCCGCAGCAUACCAUCGUGCUGGCGCCAUCACCACAGCCGCCGCAACUAGCAGCACUAGCACGAGCACCAUCACCACGACCACCAGCAGCAUCAGCCCCAGCAGCAGUCCUAGCUCCAGCAUCAACUUCUCCAUGAGCAGCAAUGGAGUUCGCACUCCCAUCCUCCCUGCUCAGAGCAUAGCUGAGGAAGUCUGCAGGCCAUACUUGAUCAGUGGAAGCGAAGAACUCCAGCUGGCGUCACAGCAGUACGGACAAUCUUGGGCACUCAACACCAGCCUGCCAUUUACGGAUGGAUGCACCAUGGCUAACAACAAUGCUUGCUCGGUGGCCGCAAGCUCAGAGGUGGACAAGAUUAAGAAGGAGAAGGAGUUGUUUGACACGGACAGAGUCCCCAAUGGCGGCAUGGACAGAGUUCAGGAUAAGGAGUUGUUUGACACGGGAAAUGAUCCAUCUGACUCCUUGUGGGAUCUGCCACCUAUUUACCCUCUGCCUUGCAGGUCUUUGAUGUAUUAGACUAGACAAAGAUUUUGCACCUUCCUAUCUCAGUGUCUCUACCUUUUGGGUCCGUUUUCUGCUCCUAGGAGCCAAUUCCGUACCAAAAAAGAGUGUAUGAGGAAUGAUGGCCAGCAAGCAGAGUAAUGUGACAGAUAUAUAUAUAUUUUUCAUCUAGACAAAUGCCUUUUUACAGAGCUGUGCUUGGUUUUUUCCUUUUGCAUUUUUUUUUCAGGAAACAGACUUAGCUUCUUUUAAGUUACAUCCGGCCGACAUAGAGCCACCAGAGAGUCUUAUCAUUCCUAUGUACAACAAUAAUGUAAACUUUUGUGGUGGAUUUUUAAAGAAAUUAGGUAUGAGAUAUUUUCAUGGUACAUCUGUAGACUUUAAAGUAGUUCUUUUUACAAAAUACUGGUUCUUAGGGUAAUAAUUAUGAUUUGAAAGGCAAAAUUUAUAUUGAAUGAUAUUUGCAAGUAUUUAUCAAACAAGCAAAGGAAGGUUCAUUUGAUGGUAAGUUUAGUGGAAACGGCUAUGAAAAUACUAAAAAAUGAGGAUUUAUGUUAUUUGCCAAGAAGCUCAUAUGUAUAAAAGUAAUCUAGCAUUUUAUUAUUAAAUACAAAUAUUACUUAAUCCAUGAUAUAGUGCAUUUUUAAGCCACCAUUUUCUCAAACAGUCCCCUUACAACGUGAAGUUGGCUAAUAUGCUACCUAUCUAGCGACAAUUAUUUGGGGGAGCCACGCCAUUGAAGGAACAGAUACGCACAGAACAACACACUAUGCAGAGGGUCAAACUAGAGCAGAGUAGUGAACAUACCAGAGGAUCCAGAUUCCGUAUGGCGCCGACUGAUGAUCGCGCCUCCUUGGGCAUCGCUGCCGCAUACGGACGGGCUAAUGACAUGCCACACGGCGCGCUAUUCCCGGGCCGAAUUCGCAGGUGGACAAGGAGGUACUAGUAGGCAUCCCAAUGGUUGAACCACGAAGCAAAUCCCCAACGGAACCUUAUGGAGCGCUCCGAAAAGGGGAAGAAAGUAACCCGUGCCCCCGGUGAGGUGCCGACGAGUUGCUUGUGGGGGUCACCCCCGCGGCCAGGCAGGCAGGCACCGCCUCGAAGCUCCCGCGGCGGCGCGGCGCGGCGCGGCGGGAAGCUUCUAGAAGCUGGACGGGAGGGCAGCUCCAGGUAAUCUCAAUCGCUAGCUAGUUGGGCCGGGCCGUAGGCGCUGGUGGACCCAACGGGCUUGGCGCCAAAUUCCUCUCACGCUACAGAAUUUUUCUUACUCUACUCCGACUACGCGUCCGCCGCUUCUCCGCCCCGCCCCGGCCCGGCGUUGCCGGCGGAGGAGCAGGUCAUCGCCGGAGUAGGCGUGAUGAUGAUGAUCAGUAAGCCACAGAGCGUGCGCGACUCAUCAGAGAGUAGUUUCUGACUGAACAACGGGGACUUGUGCAUACUUGGAUUUGCAGCUGAAUGCACGCACACAUGAACGCACUAAAAGAAACUGCAAGUCGUAGAUUUGAGAGAUCAUGGAGCUAGAAAAAUAAACAAACUGGCAACAAGUCAUGUCCAAACAAACGGUACUUGCUUCAUUGCUUGCACAAGCACGUACAGCUCGUAAUAAACUAAUAAUACAUGCCACUGCCUCCGAGUCUCCGUACUGCAGGGUGAAGCAUAAAUACCAUUUAUCCACUUAUUCAGAUUCAUACACAAUAUAUAUAUAUAUAUAUAUAUAUAUAACACAAAGGAAAAACUUGCAGGGCAAUCAAUCAGCACGCCGGCAGCAUCAGGUCGAGACACAGGCGACAGGAAGUAGAGAAGGAAAUGAACACACACACACACACACGCACACGCACACCAAACAAAUACUAUUGCAACGUCGUUCAGACACACAGAAUGGAAAAGGGGAUAGUGAACAAGCAAAGUGAAGGAAACCACCGGAUCGACUGGCUGCGUACGGAGCUCCACCUCAGUACUCUCUGAACUUCAAAACAGGUUUGUUUGGAUUCCUGGUAAGCUGGCCCCGCACGUCUUCCAACCAUUCUGGCCUGUAACGAUAGUGCUCACCAAUCUUGACUUCCUUGAGGCUACGGAGAGAUGACAGCCCAGAAAAAGAGACUUCGCCAUUGGAAUAUAGCAGCUCAAGCCUAGGUGCUGCUCCUUCUCGAAACUCCACCGAGCUGAUGCCAUUCAAGUAUACCAGAUCCAGCACCGUCAAACUCGGGAAUAAUGCCUCCCGACAGCAAGUGAAACAACUGGGCUCUUCAGCCGUGAAAGAUUCGUACCGUAGACGAAGGAUGGCCAGGUUUGGUAGCUUGCCAAGGACUUGUAUGGUUCCAUCCACCUCCGUUAGCCUGGUGCAUGCUAGCUUCAACUUCACAAGGUUCUGGAGGCUCGCGAGCGAAUCUGGCAAUUUGCCCAGAGCGCCCCGCAGCUUGAGGCUCUGGAGGUUUUUCGGAGGCAAGCGCAGGUCAUCCAAGCAGCCACGUAGGCCUGCAUCAUCUCAGGAGCACACUGACAAUGAUUCCAGGCGGCUGAGAUGGGCAAGGGUGGAACAGAACUCUUGGCAGUUCUUCUUGUUGAUGCCUGUCACCGCUAACUUGUGCAAUCGGGUGAGCCUUUUGAUGUCCUGUAGGAUGGCCUUCAAAUUCCCCCGUGAGAUGUUCACGGUACCCAGAGUGUGAAGGUCUUUUAACUUCCCGAUCCCUCUUGGCACUACAAUACCAGCAAAUGGAUCUGCAAGCCUCGCCAUAAUGGGGAGCACGACACACCAAUAAAAAGUGCACAGAUCACGCCUAUUUGAGUCACCCUCUAUCCCCUCCAGAAACUUGCGGCCGCAAAUUGAAAAACAAAAAUCCAUCAAAGUGGCAGUCCACAUCCACAUGGAAAGCUUGUUUGAGUCGCUUAGUUUAAGCAGAAUUUCAUCAUAUGAGCCACCAGAAGAGGAUAAUAUAUGAUAAGGUCCCCCCGCACGAACAUGCUGUAACUUACUAAGCUUGAUGAUGGCCUGUUGCAGCUUGAUUAUUCGUGUCCUAGUAAUAUCUAGUGUCUGGAGUUGCUUCAGGUUACCCAAUGAAUCUGGCAGGUGAAAAAUACCUUCACAUCCUCUUAAAGAAAGAUACCUUAGGUGCACGAGCUUCCCAAUUUUCUCAAGGUGAUGAUCCACUGUGAGAUAAUCUAUGAGUUUUGUUUUGUUUUGACCAGUAGGGUCAAAUGCACUUUGCUUAGCCAUUAAGUUAUACGCAGCUGUUGACAACUGCCAGUACUAGUAAAUUUGGAUUUUGCUUUAGCUGACAUAAUGUCGGUUACUGUAGUGGUACUGUAGCACGGACCUAAAAUUCCUAUAAAAGGACAUGUACCCCUCCUACAUAUCUAAGCUUGUAUAAUAUAGAAAUAUAUAUUGUUAGCUUCACUCCACAAAACCACUCCUCUUAUAUCUCUCUCCUGUUCUUAACAGAACAGAAGUGAUCAUAAGCUAAAGAAUCUAACAAUGCACAGGACCUGAGGUGCUUCCAAAGUCCAGCACACGCAGCAACAUCAUUUUAUCAGAAAUAUAAAAUGCCUUCCACUUUCCAAACACCGUCAAUGACCGUAUACGGGACAAGUCCACCAUGCUCUCAAACUCACUUUGAUCACCCUCCCAAUUGCUGCUUACAGCGAGGUGGCGUACGGUGCCCUGGUUGUUUAAGCUGCACCCUUCUUCCAUUCUAAAACAAAGAUUUUCCUCCAUUGCCUUUGAGAUGCUGAUUUCACGCAUGAGAUCGUGGAGUUUGCAAGAGGAAAUACCUUUCCUACUACCUCUUGGUUCUUUGACGCGUAGGAUCAUGCUUCGGUCAAUGAGUUCCAUGAAGUAGCUAUCAACUACUUCCCCCAUAGACUUGCUACGCACCUCGCUUGAGUAACCCUCUGCAUUCCACCGGUGCACCAAUCGUCUUCGGCGAAUACUGUAGUCUUCAGGAAAAAUAGAUAGAUACAAGAAACAAGACUUGAGAUGAUACGGUAAACCAUCGUAACUUUUCAUAAGGAUAGUUCUGAUUAUCCCAAGCUCUUGGUUCAUCUCCAGUUCAGUGCUAAGAUGUUCGUUCAGUUUUCUCUCUUUGGCUGCUUUGCCAAGAAGCCACCUAUGGUGACUAUAGCAAGGGGAAGUCCAUUGCACUUCUUCAGAAUGGGCUUUGCCUCUUCAGCCAGUCCAGGAUAGUUAUCCAAAUUUGUGGCAUCCUUAAAUACCUGUAGUUGGUAAACAAAGUUUUUAAGUAUUGCUAAUUUCAAUUAUGUAUUCAGUAAACUUUAUAAUUUACGUAUUCGAGUGACUAGCUAUAUCGUGCAAUCAUUACUCCUUGCAUGCUUUCGGCUUCAGACAAUACGAUGCGUGUGAAUUAUAACACCUCAGUUUUAGUGCAUUUAAAUUUCACUUAAUUUUUGAACGAGUGCCAUCUCCAGGCCGAGAACGGGCUCGCCCAGCACCCCCUUUCUCCGAUCCUCUCGUCAUCCCCAUGCUAAAAUUGCCACUGUCCUUGCCAUUCUACCGCUAGCCUAGCCCAUCCGUUGACAACCUGCGCUUGAGUACUACUACUAGCCUUGCCACGCCAAACGUUCGCUUCGAAGCCAUUUCACCACGCACCCAUCCCCCUCACCACAAAUCAUACGAUUUCUCAGGUUUCAUUGGAUUAGUUGGUCUACAAAUAUUUGUUCUGUUUGUAUCCCUAGCAGUUGACUACCACAGUCCCACCAGAAAAUGUAUUUGACACAGUGUGUUAAUGCACAAACAAAAGACCACUACGUCAACUUGUAAACGAUGCUAGUCACCUAUUCCAAAAUCUCUUUGGUAGUGUUUAUAAGUUAAAAAACGAAAUCAAUGGACAAAAGAUAUACUGCAUCAGUACCUUCUUUGUGAAGAGGUCAAAUGCAUCCUUGUACUCGAGAACUUUGAGCUUGUGUAUGUUUUCUGGUUUCCGUGAGCAAUGCAUUGCAAUAUUCUCUUCCCUUGUUGUGACUAUGAUCUGGCUUGUAUUCCCCAUUUUGGAGAGCUUUGGUAGUAGCUGGUCCCAUUCCUCAAUAGAAGACAAAUCAUCGAGGACAAUCAAACACCUCUUUCCUUCCAAAAGUUUAGCCAACUCUUCAAAAUUGCCCUUCCUAUAUGAGAAUGCUGCAUCUAGUUGCAUAGCUAAACUAUUAACAACUUCUUCAAGAACGAAUGGCCGCAUGACUGUGAUGCAAGCACGUUUGUCAAAUAAGAUGCUCAAUUCUUGGCUUUGGUAGACCUCUUUGACGAGAGUAGUUUUGCCAAGACCUCCCAUUCCCCACACAGAGAUUACUGUAAGUUGGUGGGCAUCUUGGUUUGAUAUUAGAUUGAUAAUGUCAUACUUUUCUUUCUCUCGACCGAUGAGCAGAGAUUCCUCCAAAGCAGCUGCAAUUGUCCCGGUGCGAGUAAGGCUCUUUCUGACCAUCUCGUCAUUGGUGCCUACAUGUUGAUCCUCAAGAAUCUCAUCUCUAGGCACCAAAGAGUCGCCAGUACUGAUGAUUAUGACUUCAUUUGAGCUAGACCCUGGGAUUGUCAAUUUGGUUCCAUUUUGAUAAACCUGAACAAAAGUGAACAAUAAUUCUGUGCCACAUUAUCAAUCUUGUAUGUGUUUAAUAUUAAGUGUAAUAUCAUGUAUGAGUCAAGGGUAGUUUAGUUUUUUCCUAUUCUAGGGUUUGGGUGCUCUCAUGUACUGUAUUAUCCCCUUUUAAGGCUAUCCAAUACAAUGUACAGUUCAGUCUCUCUUCUCCUCUCCAUUCUAACAUGGUAUCCGGCCAGCCACCAUCGUCGUCAAUUCGUCAUGCUGCGUUGUCCCCUCGUCGUCAAUUCGUCAUGAUGCGUUGUCAAGGGCGGCAAGUCAAGCCCCAAACCCAUUACGUAGAUCGAGUCGCAGCAGCAGCAGAGAGCAGCGUACCCAUUUUUUUCCCGUCGGUUGCCGUCGCCGCCAGUCCGUCGUCGCCUUGUCUCGCGGUCCCGUCGGUAACCUUCCUCGUCGGCGCCGGAUCCACCACCAUCUUCUCCGCCCGUCGCGGCGCCGUCUGCCGCCCGCCGGCGUCCCUCGAGCCGCCCGUCGUGCUGCCGUCCGUCGCGGAUCCGGCCGUCCCCGCCUCCUCCGCCGCCGUCUUCAUCCUCGCGGUCGGUGCAGCCUGUCGCUGCCGCCGUCUGCCGUCUACUCGGCCCGUUGCGGCCGUUCUCCCGUCGCGGAUUCGGCUGCUGGAGGUGGCCGCCAUCUUCCCUGCACGUCCGCUCGUUGCGGACUGUCUGCGAGGUCGCGCUCAAUCGUCGCGGCCCUGCCUCCGUCGCCGUCGCGGCACCGUCCCCGCCUCCCUGCCGCCGUCGCGGCACUGCAUCCGCUGCCAUCGCGGCCCCAUCUCCGUUGCCCCUCCUCGCAGCUGCUCGUCCCGUCGCUGGUUGUCCGUCUGCUCAUCCAGGACGACCGCCUGUCCUCCUCUGCCUCCAGACUGCACGCACUUUUAUCUGCAGUUCUGCAUUUGCCUGGAUCAUCUUCGGUUGCUGUGCUGCAACCCAUUUUCUCCUUGCUGUGCCGAUUCAAAUUUGGUCAGUUUCUGCUGGCUGCUGCUAUCUGCUGGUCUGAUUUCCCGCUAGCCAUCUUUUGUCGCUGCUGCUAUCUGUCUGCUUGCUAGGUUCAACUAUAUUGUGUCAAACUCUUCAAAUGCCACGUCAUUGCAUUCACGUUGCAUUUGAGGGGGGUGUUAAGUGUAAUAUUACGUACGAGUCAAGGGUAGUUUAGCCUUUUUCUAUUCUAGAGCUUGGGUACUUUCAUUCUAGGGCUUGGGUGCUUUCAUAUACUAUAUUAUUCUCUUUGGGGCUAUCCAAUACAAUCGUGCAGUUCAGUCUCUCUUCUCCUCUCCAUUUGUAACAUUAAAUAAUAUUUUUUGCUCUUAAAAUGUUACGAGACUAUCCAGCAAACUAUAGAACCUAAAUAUUGUUUGCAACCUGCAUGCAUAUUGAUUAAUCAACUCUAAAUUUGAGUAAAAGUUAUUAUAACAGGCAUCUGUAUGGUUCAAACUUAUUUUAUUUCUUGAUUUAUAGUACUGACAAUCGAACUAUUAGAAUAUUGUAUUGUUCCAAAUUCAAACUGUAAGAAAUCUAGUAUACUAAUGAAGUGUAUUGCUUGGCUACUUUUAUAGAGUUAAACCCAGUUUAACAUGUAUUCAGUCAGUCCGCUAGAACUGUAUUGGAUGUGGAGUCCUAUUUUGAACCUGAGCUCAUACAAUCUGGUUUUGUGAUGGCCAGGUAAUAAUUUUUCUUUCUUUACUUAAUAUGGACUUUCCUAAAAGUAUGAAAUUAAUACAGAACUAGGAGAACAGUAGCACAAUUUGCAGGUCUAAAUUUGAAAAGUUACGUUAAAUGUGGUAUUAGCUAUAUGAAUCUAAUUAAACUGCAUCCUUAGUACAAACAAAAUCCUAGUCCGCUUCGGAAAUACAGAUAAUAAUGCCUAUAAUGUACACAUAUAAUGCCCAUGGGAGGAUCCAAACAGAGAAAGGGGCAUGCACUGGCAGCAGUCCAUUUCUUUUACCAAUACAACCCAGGCGUUCUGUCACAACAAUACAACAUGAGGGGCACCCAGACCCAAAUGUUUAGUCCAACUGCACCUCAGAGCUCAGACAUUAAUCGCAGCAGAGACAAGCACUCGAAGUGAACCAUAAUAUUCGAAACUCUGGGUGGAUGGUUUGGUUAAAAAUGUUCCCUUUCUACCUCUUAUUUUGGUUUGUUGACUGUCAAAGUAAUCCUGUUUUAUUUCAUUUCCAUAUUCUUUCACAUUUUAUUAUGUUGGUUGAUUCCAAAAAAAAGAUUGAAAAAUAUUAAUACAAGUGACUGUGAAAAUGCAGCAUAAAGAAUAUGAGAUGCAGCAGCCCAAAUACUUUUAUUUAAUCAAGAUAAUUAUAGAUGGAUAGCAAGACAUAAAUUAAUUGGAUGGUUCAUAACCUCAACUUUCAAUAAAUAUUUACCUUAUUGUAGAAAGCAAAAAUACUCUGAUCAACAGAUGAUUGCUUGAGCUCUGACAAUACACUUUCUUGGCUGACACAUAGUCUUGCAACUUCACCUUGCUCUGUUGAUACUAUGAUUCAACUCCCUUUCUUGUUGUUUGGGAAAUAUUUGCUGAUCCAGUCCCACUCUUCAAAGGUGGACAGGUCAUUAAGCACAAUCAGAUAGCUCUUCUCACUCACAUACUCAGUAAAUGCAUCAACCAACUCAUCUUGCUUCAUCACCCCCAUAUUCUUAAGAACCUGGGCCCCAAUGCUUGUUAUUUCUUGUGUCUUCCGCGCUUCUUCAAGAGAAGUUUGAUAGAACUGCCUCAUGAUGCACUGAAGGAAGUCCAGUGGAUUGAAAGGAUGGACAAUCCUGAUCCAAGCAUAGAGCUUGAACUUCUUGCUUCUCAUCAGAUUAUUGUACUCUCCUUUGAUGACGGUGGUCUGGCCAAGAAGACCACUUGUUCCCCACACAGCGAUCACUCUAAGAUCGUCAUUCCCCUCGUUGAUCAGUUGGGAAAGAUCCACUUUUGCUCGGUCCUUCUGCCUCCUAGUUUCCUCAAUGCCAUCCAAAGUGCUUGACGGUCCAGCCCUUUUUGCAGGCUUGGGGCCAGUGCCCUUGAUGAGACUAUACCGGACGUUCCUUUGGCUGACAUCCUCAACCUUGGCUCUGAGUUCUUUCAUCCAUGUAGCCACACAGUGCCGAUCAACCAGUGUCCGAAGGAAGCACCACCAAUAACCACCCUUUUCUUCUCUCACACACAAUAUGCUUUUAGAACAGUAUAUGUGGAAUUGUGGACAAACUGGUUGAGGUUGAGGAUGUCGUAAGAGCACAAUGCGCAUGGAACAGCUAACGAUCAGAAUGAUUAUCAAGGCAUAUCAAGGCUUGGAGACAACGUUCUUUAAAAGAUACCAAGCUUGACGUUUCCAUGCAUAUCAAGGCACGCAAGAGAAGAUAUACUUUGGUUUGCAGGCGAGAACUAAAUCAGUUCAUAUCUUUGGCUCAGAGAUGAAAAGAGCAGAAAAGAAGAUGCAUUGCCAUCCUAGCUUGCUUUGCUAGCACACUCAAAGGUUAUAUGCCAAAGAGAAGCUGCAUCUCGAUACUUAUGUUAAUAUGCCACCUAGAUUUCUUUUAUCUAAAGAAAUGCCACCUAAAUUUCAGCCACAUUGAACCCAAAUACUAUUUGGGAUCGAUCUUCCAAACACUAGUUACCCUGGGGCUAGCAACCUGGACAAAAAAAAAAAGUUCACUGCUCUGUGAAUUUCUUUAUUAACCCUGCAGCUCAACCAAAUUGCAAACCACCGACUUGUGCUCUGAGAGCAGUAUAUGUGGAUAAACAAAUCCAGGUUGAGGAAGUCAUAAGAAAACAAUGUGCAUGGAAUAGCUAAUGAUCAGAAUGAUUAUAUAAGUUGAAGACAAAUGUCUUUAAAGGCCACCAAGCCUAACAUUUUCAUGCAUAUCAAGGCACGCAAGAGAAGAUAUACUUUGAUUUGCAGUGCAGAUGAGAACUGAAUCAGUUCAUAUCUUUGGCUUUGAGAUGAUGAGAAGAUAAAAGAUGCAUUAACAUCCUAGCUUGCUUUGCUAGCACACUCAAAGGACAUAUGCCAAAGAGAAGCUGAAUGUUUAUGUUACUAUGCCACUCAAAAUUAUUUCAGCCACAUUGAGCCCCAAUAUUAUGUGGGAUCAAUCUUCCACGCAUUAGUUACCCUUGGGUUAUAGCAAUAAAGACCAAAAAAGUUCAGAGCCCUGUGAAUUCCUUUUCCUUUUUAUCUUAAAACUCACUCGUUUACUAGUACCCUGCAGCAUAACCAAAUCACAAAAGGUACACCAUAUUCUGUAGAAAGUUUGGGAGAGGAUGCAACCAAACAUUGGUUCGAUCGGUGUCUGGGUCCCAAGUCAUACUAGCUAGAGCGAGGCAUCUCUUGAGCACAGGUAUUACAUGAACGAAUGCAGAGAAGCACAUGUAUAUGCACGCACCUGUGCUCUCUGAACUUCUCACCGAGCUGAAGGUUCAGGCCAAGAAAGCGACUCGGGCUCUAGAGAAAUGUCGGCAAUAGCGAUAGCAGGUGCAAGUGAUGAGGUAAAAAAAAAAGAGAAAACUAUCCUCUGUACAUUUGUGACGAAGCUUACUGAUCCUUGUGAUCACUUUGGUGCUUGUACUGCACAAAGGAGGCGCAUUGGGACUCAGCGUUUCUAGCUUCGAUUUCACCAAAGCUACCUGACGACCAAAGCUAAAGCAUAAUCUCGUCUCUCUUUGUGCUGUAAAAGCAAAGGAGCGGCCGGGGCUGUCGGGAAGGAUGAACCAGCAGGAACAAGAUUAGCAAGGGGUUCGAUUCGAUCACCGGACCUUUGCGUGCGCCCGCGGAGAAGAACGUGUUGGCCUGUCGCUGGCUGGAUUCCCGGGCUACCAUUGCAACGGAUGGUCGAGCCGCCAGGACCUGCCGGCUUCAGAGCAGCAACCGGCACGUACCCUGCCGGCGAGCGGGGCGAGGCGGACGGGCGGCGGCCCCAGCGCCAGCCGCGGCUGGGCCCUGGAGGAGCCCCGCGGCGGCGCGCCGAGGACGAGGGGAGGGGGAGGCGAACAGAAAAAGAAUGGGCCCCCUCAUGAACCUGCGCAGCUGCAGCUUCCCUGGGCUGGUGGGCCGGAGAAUUGAGCGCUGGUGGACCUCGGCUGACCUAGCUUCCGUGGCCGAGGUUGGCCUGCUGCGCCACACACAGCAGCAGCCACACAACGCUCCUGCUCCGCUGCUCGCCGUCGCCUUUCAGCCGCUGCCGCCUCCGCAACUGGCAGCUGGUCUGCCAGUGCCCAGUCAAGGCGUGCCCGAUGUCCCUCCCCGGAAGCAGAAGCAACGGUCGCCGGGAUUCCAACUUCCAUAAUUUUCAAAAAAAAAUAAUUCCAACUUCCAGGUGGCGUCCCUCCAUACCCUCCAACACAUCGAUCCCGGGGGCUAUUCGUUUUAUGUUUAUAAAUCAGUAAAACAUAAUCAAAAUCUUACUAUUAGGUUCCUUUUGAAACCUGCACAUUAAACCACCUACAAUCCUAGAUGGACACUCUAAACAAUAGAAAAAUUCUAAAAAUUCUUAUAAAAAUCAGAAAUAUCAUGUCAUUAAUCCGACAACUCUAAUCAUAAUAAUCAUUGGAUCUAUUAUCUUUCCUAAUAAAUUACUCACUUCUACCAUUAUAAAAAUAGACUAAAGUAAUCCUCUAAACAUGUAUCUAAAUUACCCACCUCUGUCAUUAUAAAAUCUAAAGUAACCCCUGAUCUUCAUAUAAAUUACCCACCUAUGCCAUUAUAAAAAUAAUGCAAAUAACCCCAUAAAUUUGCAUAUAAAUUAUUCAAAUAUUAUUAUUAAAAGUUAAAGUAACCCCUAAAUCUGAAUCCAAAUUAUAUAAUUAUAACAAAAUAUUAAGUGCACCAAUAUAAAAUUCUAAAUUAUUAUUUAUAUCAUUAUUAAUAUAUUAUUUAUAUUAUUAUUUAUAUAAAAAUACUACCCAUGAUAUGUUUGUAUUUAUGUAUAAUGGAAGAGAUAAGAAUAUCAAUUCACAAAUGAUUCAAUUAAAUAUAUAUCAAACGCACAUGGAGGUGUGAUACAAAAUAAAAUCUAUUGCAACUAGAUAAUGAUAAAUAUGUAUUUUAGAGUAUAUGCUAGAAUAUUUAAUAGAUGAAAGAGGAUGUGAGAUAGAUAAUUAUAAUUAUAAUUAUUAGCUAUAAGUCUUAUUUUUUAUUAGUUCUAAUUAGCCCGGAGCACAGGUUGACAGACAAGUACAGCUUUAAUUAACUAACAGUACCUAGUAACUAGGACCAGUAAUCUCCAUCUUAGCACAUCGUCCAUAUCUUGCACCAUGGUGUCUGAAUGUGUCUCAUUUUACUUUUUGUUGACCGGAGCUUCAUUAUUUCUUCACUAAAUCCCUUUGGAUUUUGCUAAAAUAGCGUGAAAAUGAAAAUUGUCAUUGCUUUUCUACCUUAAGUGGUUAGACAGCUCCUGCCAAGUUUUCUCUUAAAACAUUUAUUUGAAACGGUCUUGCAUCUUUAAACCUCCUGAAACUUUGUUUUCACACUUGAAAGUUGACUGGAAUUUGAAUGCCUGCUUUGAAUCCUGAAUAUUUGCUUGAACACCUGAAUUACUGUUUAUGAAACUUACAUGGAAUGUAAGGUUUUGGUUUUCUGAACCUUGAAGAACACUAUCCCGUGGGGAGUAAUAAAAACCAUUUUAUCGUGUUCAGCGUGCUCGUAUUCAUAAUUUAAAAAAGAUGAAAAUGUAGCUUUGCCAAGCCACGUCAGAAGUUAUGCCAAUCUAGUUUUAAAUUGACCGAUUUUCUUCCAGGCUUGUUAUCACAAUAUUGUUAUUAGUUUUUCCAUUCUUGUGAAAUACAAGUACUGUUGAAAAAGAAAAAUUCUUUGGAGUGGAUGAAUUGCAGCUCUAACUCUCGUGAUAGGAACGAAAUCGCUCUCUCUGGCUUAAAAUUGUCAGUUUGUGAAUUUGACUCCAGCAUGAUUGUCCAAUGUCCAUCUCUAUCUAGGAUUGCAUCUCAACUUUUUGAGGUGGUUGUUGGAGUAAUGGGCUUGGCCCAUUCAUUCUAUCAAUUAAAAGAAUUUAAAGCCCACUAUUAAUGCUAGGGAAUCAAUGCUUAAUUCCGUACCGGGAAUUGAGGAGGAUCUCAACCGACUUAAAAGGUGGACUUUGUGUAUACCGCUUGAGAAGCCGGUAAGAGGAGGACGGUGAACCACACGCGCGCGCGCUCGCUCGCCUCGCCGAGCCGGGCCGUGGCCGAGGCGAGGCGAGGGGCGGUGCGGUGCGCGGCCGGACGUGACGUGACGUGACGUGACGUGCGGUGCGAUGUGCUGAGAUGAGAACGUUUUUGCAGUAAAGAGCAUUAAAACAGAGAAUUAAUGUCGAUACUAAUGACCAGACAUUGAAGGCUCUUUACGACGUCCAGGUUCGUUGAACCUGAGGCACAUUAACUGCCGCUCAUCAAAGCCAUUCAUGACGUCCAGGUUCGUUGAACCUGAGUCAUCUCGUGCCUAUAUAAGCCAGCACCCUCUCCUCUCAUCCUCACUCAUCUCAAGCAUUCUCAAGGUACUCCUCUUCAGGAGACCUCUCCCUUCUCCCUCAGCUGCUUUCUGCUUUCCCCACCGCUAGCACUGCGCGCACAGGUCUAGCGAGAGCAGGGCCUCCGGAACCUCUGCUCGCUGAAGGUCCUGCACGGGACGCGGGCAAUUAGGUUUUUGGGGAGCGUCUUGACGCGACUGCUCGCUCCCUGAACGACUCCUUCGUCUACUUCCCGGCGCAACCGCUCGUGCGAACGACUACUUCGUCUACUUCCCGGCGUAACCGCUCGUGCGAACGACUACUUCGUCUACUUCCCGGCGUAACCGUUCGUGGGACUGCACUGCGAACACCUUCCUGCAUCGACUUAGUUCGGCUACUUCAAGCAAGGCCAGUCGAAUAGCAUGUCUAUUCCAGCUGGUAACGGCGCAACCGGUGCCCCCGGCACUGGUCCCGCCUUGGGGUACAUACUAAACCUAUUCUGGUUUAAUUAUUUGUUCAUGCUUAUUAGUGAGAAUAACAUGAACACAUGCACAUAUCUCUUAAACACAUUAUCACUCAUCUAUGUCAUGAAAUUGCUAGUAAUAUUUGGAAUUAAAAUAUACCGAAAAUUGCCUAGAUUUCUAACAAUCCAAAAACCUAAUCUUGUUAAUAGGCUUUCGGUAUCUAGCUUUGCUGCAUCAAUCAAACCACCACCAUUUGAUGGUUCAAAUUACAAACGUUGGCAAGAGCAGCUUAUACUAUGGUUAACACUAUCGAGAGUGAUCCAUGUGAAAGAGGGUAAGCCUGAGCAAUUCUCUCCAGAGGAAGAGAGUGCAUUCGAUGAGGCUGAUAUCCUCUUUCGAGGCUUGAUCAUAAGUGUUCUCGGUGAUAACCUGGUGGAUUCUUAUAUCCGGCUGCCAACUGGCAAAGCAUUGUGGGAUGCUCUUGAGGCUCAAUAUGGAGUAUCUGACGCCGGGAGUGAGUUGUAUAUCAUGGAGCAAUUCCUUGAGUACAGGAUGGUCGAAGACCGUUCUGUAGUGGAACAGGCUCAUGAAAUACAUACUCUAGCAAAAGAUCUCAAAAAUUGCAGCAAAGAGUCCCCAUGUGUGUUACCCAAUAAGUUUGUGGCCGGAGGUAUAAUCUCUAGGCUGCCACCUUCUUGGAGGGACUUUGCUACUUCUCUAAAACACAAGAGACAAGAGUUCACAAUAGAUGGACUCAUAGGGACUCUUGAUGUUGAGGAGAAGGCGAGAGCAAAGGACAUACGUGGGAAAGGAGUUGUUGGUGCUUCAAGUGCCAAUCUUGUUCAAAAGAACAACUCCCACAAGAACAAGAAAAAGCCACCGCAGAACCAACCAAAGACUAAGAAGACAACCACUUUUAAGAAGAAGAAGAAGACGGGAGCUUGCUAUGUGUGCGGUAGUACGGAUCACUUUGCUGCAAAGUGUCCGAACCGCAAAGGCAACGACUCCGCCAACAUGGUUAUUAGCGAGCCUGGAGGAACAUCGGGGUACGGUAAUUUAUUAUCUACUGUUCUUUCAGUCUUUGGUUCACCCGAGUGGUGGGUUGACACUGGUGCUAAUAUUCAUGUUUGUGCUGAUGCUUCUUUGUUCUUUUCUUACCAGACCGGCGGGACUUCCUCCUUGCUGAUGGGGAACGGAUCGCAUGCGCGUGUUCUUGGUGUUGGUACGGUAAAUCUGAAGUUUACUUCGGGGAAGACCGUGCAGCUGAAGAACGUGCAGCAUGUCCCCACCAUCAAGAAGAAUCUAGUCAGCGGCUCUCUUCUGUGUAGAGAUGGUUUCAAAUUAGUCUUUGAGUCCAAUAAAUGUAUCUUGUCUAAGUUUGGUACUUUUGUUGGAAAAGGUUAUGAAAGCGGAGGCUUGUUUCGUCUUUCUUUGUCAGAUGUUUGUAAUAAAGUUGCAUACAAUGUUAUUAACGUUGAUGAAACAAAUGUUUGGCAUUCGAGGCUUUGUCAUGUUAAUUUUGGUUGUAUGAUGCGCUUAGCUAAUUUGAGUUUAAUUCCAAAGUUCACUUUUGUCAAAAAUUCUAAGUGCCAUGUAUGUGUUGAAUCAAAACAAACUCGUAAGCCUCAUAAGACCGCGGAGGCAAGGAGCUUGGCACCCUUAGAAUUAAUUCAUUCCGAUUUGUGCGAAAUGAAUGGAGUGUUGACAAAAGGUGGUAAAAAAAUAUUUCAUGACUUUGAUUGAUGAUUGUACUAGAUUUGUUACAUCUAUUUGUUGAAGUCAAAAGAUGAAGCUUUACACUACUUAAGUAGAAAACCAACUUGAGAGAAAGAUCAAAAGAGUUAGGUCAGAUCGUGGUGGCGAGUAUUUCUCAAAUUUAUUUACUUUAUUCUGCGAGGAACAUGGUAUUAUUCAUGAGAGGACGCCUCCCUAUUCACCUCAGUCAAAUGGGGUUGCCGAAAGAAAGAACCGCACUCUAACGGAUUUGGUUAACGCCAUGUUAGAUACAGCGGGACUUUCCAAGGAAUGGUGGGGAGAGGCUAUAUUGACUGCAUGUCAUGUCCUAAACCGUGUUCCUACAAAGAAUAAAGAGAUAACUCCAUUCGAGGAAUGGGAGAAGAAAAGGCCAACACUGUCAUACUUACGUACAUGGGGUUGUUUGGCAAAAGUGAGUGUGCCAAUAACCAAGAAACGUAAGCUUGGACCUAAAACUGUGGAUUGUAUCUUUCUAGGUUAUGCUAUUCACAGCGUUGGAUAUAGAUUUUUAAUAGUGAAAUCUGGAGUACCUGAUAUGCAUGUUGGUACUAUAAUGGAAUCCAGAGAUGCUACAUUUUUUGAAAACAUUUUUCCCAUGAGAGAUGAAACAAGUUCAUCUAGGCAAGAGUUCAUCGAGAAUGAUGGCUCUGCUGAGCCGAUAGAACACAAUGAACAUACACUUGUAGAAAAUCCUGAGGAGGAUAACAAUGAUGCUCCGAGAAAGAGCAAGAGACAAAGGACUGUAAAGUCUUUUGGUGAUGAUUUCAUUGUAUACCUCAUAGAUGAUACACCCAGAACCAUUGAAGAGGCAUAUUCAUCUCCUGAUGCUGACUAUUGGAAGGAAGCAGUAAGGAGUGAGAUGGAUUCUAUUAUGUCUAAUGGAACCUGGGAGGUUGUUGAACGUCCUUAUGGAUGUAAACCGGUUGGAUGCAAGUGGGUGUUUAAGAAAAAGCUUAGGCCAGAUGGUACUAUUGAAAAGUACAAAGCUAGGCUUGUGGCCAAGGGUUAUACCCAAAAAGAAGGAGAAGAUUUCUUUGACACUUAUUCACCAGUUGCCCGAUUGACCACAAUUCGAGUGUUACUUUCCCUGGCAGCCUCUUAUGGUCUUCUCGUUCAUCAGAUGGACGUUAAGACGGCUUUCCUCAAUGGAGAGUUAGAAGAGGAGAUCUAUAUGGAUCAGCCGGAUGGGUUUGUAUCAAAGGGUCAAGAAGGAAUGGUUUGUAAGUUGUUAAAAUCUUUAUAUGGUCUCAAGCAAGCGCCUAAGCAGUGGCAUGAAAAGUUUGAUAGAACUUUGACCUCUGCCGGCUUUGUUGUGAACGAAGCUGACAGAUGUGUGUACUAUCGCUAUGGUGGGGCUGAAGGAGUGAUUUUGUGCUUGUAUGUGGAUGACAUACUGAUCUUUGGCACUAGCCUUAAUGUGAUUAAGGAAGUCAAAGAGUUUUUAUCUCAAAAUUUUGAGAUGAAGGAUCUGGGAGAAGCUGAUGUUAUCCUUAAUAUAAAACUGGUAAAAGAGAUCAAUGGUGGGGUGAUUCUUACACAGUCUCACUAUGUGGAGAAGGUGUUAAGUUGCUUUGGUUAUAGCGACUAUAAACCUGUCUCAACACCAUAUGAUGCCAGUUUAAUUCUUAAAAAGAACAAAAGGAUAAUGCGAGAUCAGCUGAGAUACUCUCAGAUCAUUGGCUCAUUAAUGUAUUUAGCGAGCGCUACAAGACCUGACAUCUCGUUUGCUGUAAGCAAACUGAGCCGGUUUGUUUCAAACCCGGGAGAUGAUCGUUGGAAGGCUCUUGAAAGAGUAAUGCGCUAUCUGAAGGGGACAAUGAACUAUGGAAUUCACUACACCGGGUACCCAAGGGUACUAGAAGGGUAUAGUGAUUCAAAUUGGAUCUCUGAUGCUGAUGAGAUAAAGGCCACAAGUGGAUAUGUGUUUACACUUGGUGGUGGAGCUGUUUCCUGGAAGUCUUGCAAGCAGACCAUCUUAACGAGGUCAACUAUGGAAGCAGAACUCACAGCAUUAGAUACCGCCACUGUUGAGGCUGAGUGGCUUCGUGAGCUCCUUAUGGACUUGCCGAUAGUUGAAAAACCAUUACCGGCAAUCCUAAUGAACUGUGACAAUCAAACGGUAAUUGUCAAGGUGAACAGUUCAAAGGAUAACAUGAAGUCAUCUAGACAUGUGAAAAGGCGGUUGAAAUCUGUCAGAAAAUUGAGGAACUCCGGAGUUAUAGCCCUGGACUAUGUUCAGACGGCUAAAAAUCUGGCAGAUCAGUUUACAAAGGGUUUUUCACGAAAUGUGAUAGACAAUGCAUCUAUGGAAUUGGGCUUGAGACCCACGUGAGUCAUUCUAUAGUGGAAACCUGUCCUAUGUGAUCGGAGAUCCCGUGAAUUAGGAUGGUGAAACAAACUAAAGUCUGACUGUGAGAAGAGAACCUUUAUGAAAAGGGCUCAUUCCGUGUAUAAGGUGCAUUUCUCUUCUAAUCUGUAUGGCAGGUUGGUCUAUACCUUAAUGUGUUCCAGGUGGUUUCUUUAAAACAAAUGAGUUGUUUUCUUGAAACAAAGAUGUUGUCCUACAGAACAUCUAAAAGGAACACACCUAUAUGAGUUUGACUACUGGUCAUGGUCUAUGAGAACUGGGUAUUCUCUAAAAACUCAAGAAGGGCCUGGAGUAUGACUUAUAAGCUCCAAACCGCGGGGAUGCUCUUGCAGCCUAGUACCAGUGUAGGGCUCUGGUCAAACUUGUUUGCACAAAACUGGCAAUUCAAGGCAUAGUCCAUUGCACAGUUGUGAAUAAGUGUAGCCUUUGUCCUAGAUGGAAGUUCAACUUAACAGUCUCUGUCGAAUACUGGUAUAUCAAUGAGGAAAUGAGGGCAUUUCUAGUGCGGCUUGAAUUUCUUGGUGGGGAUUGUUGGAGUAAUGGGCUUGGCCCAUUCAUUCUAUCAAUUAAAAGAAUUUAAAGCCCACUAUUAAUGCUAGGGAAUCAAUGCUUAAUUCCGUACCGGGAAUUGAGGAGGAUCUCAACCGACUUAAAAGGUGGACUUUGUGUAUACCGCUUGAGAAGCCGGUAAGAGGAGGACGGUGAACCACACGCGCGCGCGCUCGCUCGCCUCGCCGAGCCGGGCCGUGGCCGUGGCCGUGGCCGAGGCCGAGGCGAGGCGAGGCGAGGGGCGGUGCGGUGCGGUGCGGUGCGGUGCGCGGCCGGACGUGACGUGACGUGACGUGCGGUGCGAUGUGCUGAGAUGAGAACGUUUUUGCAGUAAAGAGCAUUAAAACAGAGAAUUAAUGUCGAUACUAAUGACCAGACAUUGAAGGCUCUUUACGACGUCCAGGUUCGUUGAACCUGAGGCACAUUAACUGCCGCUCAUCAAAGCCAUUCAUGACGUCCAGGUUCGUUGAACCUGAGUCAUCUCGUGCCUAUAUAAGCCAGCACCCUCUCCUCUCAUCCUCACUCAUCUCAAGCAUUCUCAAGGUACUCCUCUUCAGGAGACCUCUCCCUUCUCCCUCAGCUGCUUUCUGCUUUCCCCACCGCUAGCACUGCGCGCACAGGUCUAGCGAGAGCAGGGCCUCCGGAACCUCUGCUCGCUGAAGGUCCUGCACGGGACGCGGGCAAUUAGGUUUUUGGGGAGCGUCUUGACGCGACUGCUCGCUCCCUGAACGACUCCUUCGUCUACUUCCCGGCGCAACCGCUCGUGCGAACGACUACUUCGUCUACUUCCCGGCGUAACCGCUCGUGCGAACGACUACUUCGUCUACUUCCCGGCGUAACCGUUCGUGGGACUGCACUGCGAACACCUUCCUGCAUCGACUUAGUUCGGCUACUUCAAGCAAGGCCAGUCGAAUAGCAUGUCUAUUCCAGCUGGUAACGGCGCAACCGGUGCCCCCGGCACUGGUCCCGCCUUGGGGUACAUACUAAACCUAUUCUGGUUUAAUUAUUUGUUCAUGCUUAUUAGUGAGAAUAACAUGAACACAUGCACAUAUCUCUUAAACACAUUAUCACUCAUCUAUGUCAUGAAAUUGCUAGUAAUAUUUGGAAUUAAAAUAUACCGAAAAUUGCCUAGAUUUCUAACAGUGGUUUUCUACAGAAGCUUCUGACCGUGCCUCUCGUUGUCAUAGCCUGUGCUCUGGUUUGCACUCCGGUCGGUCUUUGUUUUCUUUAGGCUUCAUUUCCUUUUCACAACUCCUUCGUGAUGAUGUGUUGUGUCAAAUUACGUUAAAGAAAGAAGUGGUGUCGUAACGCCAGAUCUGCCUAUUGAUUAACCUGUAAACCACACUUUGUUUCAUAUCAAAUUGGCAUGUAUUCAAUAUUUCAAUUUAUUGUUUAAAGUCAGCAUCUAAUUGUGAUUUACUUUCUGGGAAUGUUCUUGAAUUUUAUGUCAAAGGUUAGCCAUGUCUCCUUAAAACAGGAUAAACAUGGGAGCUUUAUGAUACAGGAAACAACCUACAAGGCAGCAUAGUUCUUCUGAGCUACUGAUCAGAUGAAUUGAACGUAACUCUGAUGUGAAUUAGAUGCCAGGAUAUCAUAGAAAAUCAUUCCUACUGAGAAUAAUCAGUGAUCGAUUAUUAUCGCAUAUUUUACCUAAUUUAUCAGCUUGAGUGAGUAACAAGACUUAGAUAUUCGCCCAUUGUUUUCAUCCCAUGCAAGAUUUACUUUUCCUGUUAUGGAUUUGCUAUGAAUAAUGCACAGCACAGCUCUGCUAGAACGGUCCAGCGGAAGCUUGAGUGCGAAGGAGGAAGAAGUCCAGAGUGGUAGGCCCCAAAGGCCAUUAUUUUCACCCUUGUCACCUAGCAGGAAGGACAAGCCCACACACAAGCUCCUCUCUCCCGGCCGUCUCCCUUGCUGCAAGGAGCUCCAAGCCGUGUGUGUGAUGCUGACGUGUUCCUGCACUCGUUUAUAGCUUCCUCCCACUGGCACCCUGUUUCCCUGCAGUGAAGGAAGAGAGAGGGGAAAGACAGGAAUCCUAUCAAGUUGAUGCUUGGAAAGCAACUGUUCUAUAUAGGCCCUUGAUACUUCUACUCUUUGCUGCCUAAGCUCGUGCUGUUGUGUAGCUGCUAGAUCCUGCAGCUUUAGUUCUUGCAUCAGCUUGCCAUGGACAGAGGAGCAGGUGUUCCCAUGGAUGCAGGCCAGGAUUUGUGGGACUGGGAGGUCCUGCCUGACAAGAGGAGCUUCUCCAUGGGCCAUGGCAGCAUGCAUCUUAAUGGUAAGAAUCUUCAGCUCUCUUUUUUCAAAAACCAAAAAAAACAAAAAAGGAAACUUCAGUGCUUGAUCUACUUAAUCCUGAUCAUGAUCAGCAGUGACUCUUAUUCUUGUGAUCGGUUGCAUGCCAGAUCAAGAAACAGAGGAACAUGUUCUGCCUCCAUCGGGAGAUGUUGCUGUGGCCGACGAGCCUGACGUCGAGUGCAAGGACAUUGGCGUCGUGCUGGAUGAGACCAAACCAGUGCCUAGUGUUGCCGAUCUGAUGGUCUCUGACAAGGAUGAGGAAGAGAAGGCGUUCGAGAGCUCUGACGCCAAGGAGGCCGACGAUGACAAAUUUGCCGAGGAGGAAGAAGAGGAUGUCAAGACGGAAAACAAAAAGGCGCGGCCGGAGUGCGUGGUGUUCAGCGUGGGGAAGCUGAAGGUGAACGGGAUCGGCGCGCUGUGCUCGUUCGGGUUCGCCGCCGCCACCGUCUGCAUCUUCCUGAUCGGCGGCAGGCUGCAGCACCACCACAGGCAGCAGCAGCAGAAGAUCCAGCUGCAGUUCUAUGGCGAUGAUAAGGUUCGAUGACUCAUUCAGUAUUGUCUUUGUAUACCUAAUCCACAAUCCCUUUUUGUUUCUAGAAUGAGUCUUUUGACCUAAUUAAUGCAGAAUAUGCAAGGUUUGAGCUUGACAGGCAACUAAACUUAUCUUAUUACUUGUGGUUCUCUGUAUACUUGGAUUAACUAUGAUGGCCCAACUUGGGCGUUCCUGUCAUCUUAAAUGCAUUCGCCGGCCAUCCAAUCUUGUCCUUAUGCUAAAAAAAAAAGAAUUAGGAGAUUCUUGGAUCGGCUUAAGCUAUUUGUUCUUAUAAAUUCAGAAACUUCCAGCUGUAGCCUAUUCGUCUUAUCCAUGAGAAGUUUGGCUGAUGAAGAUGCUUUGAUGUGCAGAGAAUCCAGCAGGUUGUGCAACAGACCUCAAGGCUGAACCAGGCCAUGUCAUCCGUGAUGGGGGCAGGAGGAGCAUCAACCAGGGCCAACAUAUCAUUUGGUGGCUUCUACGAUGGGUUCUGAUCUCAUCACUUCAUCAGAAUGGAGUAUCAUCAUCAAGCACAAGUUGCAAUGGUAGCAGGUAGCAACUUAUUAGAUAUGCUACGGCCAAGUGGUCUGAAACUCUGAAUGUACACUACCACACGUACCUGCACAUAGUUUGUAUUGGUUGUAAAUAAUUGGGUUCUUAGACCUUGGUUUAUUACAUACAGAUAAGGAAGGAUUAUUAUAGCUAGGUUUGUUCAAGCGGAUAGAUAAGAGAAAGAUUAUUUGACUUGUGCCGAAAUAGGAAAUGCUUAAUCGAGAAGUUAUUAACUGAACAUGAAUAAUUCCUCCUCUUGACCUUUUUCCAUGAGCGGAUUUCUAUGAAUGACACUUUUAUUUUACUCAACAAAUGAUUUGUUAAUAGGCUAGAAGUAGUUUUCUAUUACUUAAAUUAAAUGAAUUUCUUUUCGAUUACUUCCUCCAUUUUUAAAUAUAUAUGAAAUUUAGGACAAUCAAAUUCGUUUUAAAAUAAACUAAUUGGCUUAUCCUAAACUGUUUAUACCUAAACAUAGUGUAUUAAAUUAGUAGGGUGUAGAGCCUUUGUAGCACUAUAUUGUAACAGUGUAACCCUAAUCAGUUAGGCCUUGGUCGGUAAGGGGAGAGUGCCCUAGCCAUCUUUUUCUCAAAGAAAGUUCUAUUCAAAAGUCAACAUCUGCCCAAAAAUCCCUCCUGCGCUGAAAUUCUUGCCCCUGCUGGCCGACUUUGCGCCCUAAACUGUGUGUCGAGGUGCACACAGUGACAUGCCACCAAUCUGGCCAUUUGUGCACGGGUGAUGCGAAGUACAAGUGUCCGUGCGACCGCCCGGCAAACUAAGCUAACCGGGAAACGUUCCCGUUCUGAACAUCACAAACUUUUUUCAAACAUUUAUGAAAGGUUCACUGGAUCUACAAAGAUAAACGCUUCAUUGUCGAGUAGCCCAGGGUACAAGACAAUAUUUGAGAAAAAUAAUAACAUUUGUAAAUUGGAUAUCUCAAUAAAAAUUUGCUCAAUAUAAUUACAAGUAGAGCUUCUAAUUGGCUUCUGGCAUAGGUCUGAUAAACUAAAGUAGUAAUCCAUUUCCUGGAUCAUUGUUGACUUGUUGUCAAACAAAGGCACACUUGUUUCUUACCACUGCUAAUGACCCAAUUUAUUGCAAAAACUUCAGGGGAAAAAGAAGAAGUAACUCACUUGUAAUGCAAGGAAUACCAUGGGGUAAAAAUCUGCCGUCCCUAUUAGGUGGUCAAAAGAAGCCAACUCCAGCAAGUCUCUGUGAAUGGGAUGGAGCGAGCCAGGGAGACGAACUUGCCAAGUGGCAUCGUUGCUCCGGUGAUGCCGACACAAGGAAGAAGGCCAUGUGAAAAGAAGAAAAGAUUGUUUGUUAGUUUGUUGCGUGUUUAUUCACAUAUUUAAUUUGUUCUUUUGUGCACCUUGCAUAUGGUUGCGUGCACGGUGCAUUUGGAAAACUAGUCAGUCCUUAUCGAGAUGAAGUGUUUUACAUAGCCUUUUCCCAUACUUAGAAUGUAAUUUGCUUAUUUCUGGUCUUCGAAUCUGUCGCCCUGUAAAUAUUUUCCUCAUGCAUGACUCCUGAGUGGAGUGGUAACGCUUUUGUAUUUCCAUUCAAAAGUUACAAAAAUAAAAGGCAGCUCUAAUCCCAUAUGUACAAAUCAAAUUUCAGCAUCUACAUUCGAUAAUAAAGCAUAAGAAAAUUUCAAUUUCUCUAAUUUACUUCAUUGCUCUGCUUAAUAUCACAAGGCCGCCAGGUACUAGCAGGUUUUUGGAACUCCGAUUUCAAAAACAAACGCGAAGAUAAAAUGUCACUUUUGAAUCCAAGUGGCCAUGAAUGGAGGGAUGUCAGCAUACUGUACUUUAUUCCUUUGAUUUACCAUUUCUCUUUUGGGGGUGAAAACAUCUCCUUUAUCAGGUACUGAAUUUAGAAUACCUUUGAACCAAUGCCUUCUGCAUAACGAGCUUAGCGAAGCAAUACUUAUGUCUUCAUUGCAUAUAAUCUUAAACCUGUUUCUAAACCAGGAACAAUGUAUUCUUUUUCAAAGGAGAUUACUGUAUUAUGAUAUCAAACCCAGGAUUGUUCAGUUUUAAGCUUACUUUAUGGAAAUCAUAUUUCCUCUUGUGUGUGGCGUAAAGCAGGACUAACUAUUGGCACAUUCAUUUUGUCCAAGCAUACUGCUACACUUAUUUGAAUAUGCAUACAUCAUGACUGAGAAUUACACGUUAAUAAGACUGACGAUGAGUACAUUGACUAGCAUUGCCACAUAAGUUUCUCAUAAAACCUAAGAUACAUAUUAAUAAUUUUCAUGAUUUCAUAGUGGAAUGUAAAACGAGAGUAACACUUCCUACAUUUAUGGCCAUUCAAGAGCAUGGUGAUAAUGAGGUAAAUGAGGGAAAGUAUUACGAAUGAAGCCAGAGGGUACACAAUCAAGGUAUAAGUUCAUCUUCGACACCUUGUCAUCCUGAUAGUAAAUGGUUACUGCAGGUACUUUGGUGCCGUUUAGGUCAUUAAACUUUGAGAAGAUUUUCUAUAUGGCACUUUCCCUAUAUGAUAUUAGCAAAUUUUGCCUCCCUUAUUUGACAUGGAGAAUUUUUCGGAUACCAUCAAGGAAUGUUUUAAUAUUUUUCUAGGAUCGUCUGUCGAGUGGCAUUCUAUCAUCUUACGAUGAUGUACUCUCUCUCUCUCUCUCUCUCUCUCUCUCUCUCUCUCUCUCUCUCUCUCUUUUUGCCUAGAAAGCAGCAAAUGCUAGCUGCUGCCCUCAUGCAAGGCGAAGCAAACCUACAAGCAGUACAAAAGUUGGCUGCAUUGUGGAGCGUGUCACACUGCCACUUGAAAGCAACAUGGAGGUGCAACGAGCAGGGUGAGGAGGAGACCAAAAAGUGUGCCCGGAAGAGGCUUGAGGAAAAGCAAGCAAGCUGCACGUCUUUUCUCUUGCUCCGACCAAUCCUACUGCUGGCGACUAGCUAGGAGCAUUUGCGCAGAGACGAUGCAGAAAGCACCAGCACCUGCUGGUACUCUUUCCAUGAGUGGCUGAGUGCGUGCCUGCUGUGGUGCGACCGUCACGCUUGUGCAGACAAGAUUGAAGCGGGCUAUAAAUUUUUGGAGAACAGACGAUUUCAUCCUUCAGGUUCGGGUCGAAAAGAAAAACACCGAGUUUUUUUUUUACUUGACUCUACAAAUAGUCGUGUCUAUUUCUAAGUUUCAUCCGUGAGAUUUCCAUCCUACACGCAAGCUACGCUAUCCUUGCAUUAAAAUAUAAAAAGAACAAUUUUAGAGGAAUAAGCGAUUUCAUCACUAAACUCUGCACGGAUGGUCAAUUUCAUCCUCAACUUUAACAUAGGCCAUUUUAGUCCUAUGGAACUUACGUUUUUAGAUUUCCAGGUUCAAUGUGCUCCCUCGUUUUUACUGUCCAUCCGUAUUAGUGUGCCAUGUCACCCAAGGCGUACCCAUGGGAAAUGUAUCCUUGUCUUGUGCAUGCUUCAGGCAAUACAAUCGAAAGAUGGAUACUCCAUACGGACAAACCAAAGGUAAUUAGAAAUCACAAUUUUGCAGUUACUUUUUUGGCUGAAGCGGGUGAUGCCACGUGGACAGCCAGUCAGUCCAAAAGACUAGAUUGCACCUGGAAACAAGAGUUUUUUUUUUAAAGGAUGAAACAAGAGUUGCAAGACUAAAUUGUUGGCUCCUGCGAAACUGAGGGACGAACUCGACCUUCGGAGCAAAACUGACUCGAUUAUCCGGCUGGAUUUUUUUGGCCGGAUCCCGUCCUAACACAUGGUCGGUUCAGAUAAAACCCGAUUCUUUAUAUAUAAUUUUUGAGUCGGGUCGGUUUGAGUCAGGUUUGGAGUCAUAAAAAAUCGAUCCAUAUCCGGACCGUUUUUUAUGGCAGAUUGUAAAUUUCAGCCUGAGCCUAAUUCAUGUGUUGUCAGAUCGGAUCGGGUCGAAAUUUUUUUCAAGCGGAUCGACGUCGGGUCAGAUGACCAUGAUCCGAUAUACUUGAAAGUGUAAGCUCCGAAUCUCUCCUCUUUGGGACCAUAUCCUACUGUAUCUUGUAUGUUCGUUGCCUAUAUACCGUAUACGUGCAUGUUAGUCCCAAUGUGGUGUCGUCACAUGUACCCUACAUUUAGCCCCGAGAUCUUGUCGCCACACGCGCCGAGGCCACUACACGACCGAUCCGUUAUCGAUCACCUGCGCCAUGAGUAGAUUCCGAUGGCCGUUUUGUCCCUGUCUACCUUGCCGGCUGUUCUUUUUUCUGUCAGCAAAGACAUUUGCCGGUGAGGCUGUGACACGCUCAGGAAUCACUGUGGCAUGUACACGUGAGUUUGUUCCACCCUUUCCUUUCUUUUUCUUCCCUGUGAUGAGAACACUGAAACACAUCAGCGUGCCUGCUUCAGCAUCGUCAUCAUCAGGUAGCUAGCCGUACUACUGUCAGGGGGAUUAUUGUCACAAAAGAAUGAAAACAUUUCCGUCAGAUUUCCAACCCUACUAACUUUGUCGCAACUCACAGAGGCUAGUGAAAACGUGCGGUAAGAAUAUUUAUUUAUUUAUUUGGGCUAAAUCACUCCAAAACGGAUCAUAUUUUUGCAAUUCAUCAGGUUCAUUUGAAGAGUAGGCAGGGGCCCAUACAACAAUUUGAGCCCGGGGUGCGAUGGUGAUCACCCUGCUGGGCGAUUCGCAACUACUUGCCGACCGUAGGUGCGGCAUGCGCAGGAGAGCCGAAGCCUGUCAGCGGAGCUGAAAACCAAGUCCCAACCGCACAAAUUGGUGUGCCUGCCUGCCCUCCUUCACGCCCAUGCAUCGCCCACGGAUCGAUCGAUUCCAAUCAUCACGUGUGAUGUAAGACAGAUCUUGUUAUUGUGUGUGAGCGCGUGCGCGUAUAUUGGUAAAGUAAGAAUUGAUGUUAGUGAUAGAUUCCUUAUUUUAUAAUGCGCAACUUAUUUUAUUCAAAAUGUUGUGGUAGGAUAAAAACUCUAGUUGAAUUGUCAUUGCACAUUGUAUAGAAUGGUAUCGUAAAAUUGAUGCUAGAAGAUUCGCUAGUUUUAAUGGCUCUGUAUUGUAUAGCAAGUUCAUUCUGCGAGCCAUCUCGUCGAAUUGUCACAUUUCCAUAUGUACUCUGUUAAUAUCUAAGAUAAUUUUUUUUAUAUUUACAAAUAGUUCGAGGGUAGUAGAAAAAAAAUAGCACCACAUCCUGCGGAUAGGCCAAGCCGCGGCUUGUAUAGUCGUAUACGUGGGGGGUUUUUCACUGAAAAAUAAAUUCUCCUAUACCGCGCUGUUUCUUCUCUUCUCGCCCCGUAUCCCCGGCGGCAAGGCAAGCUGCCAAGAAUGGCGACGAGCUAGCAUGAGCGAGGCGACGACAAGGGGACAGCAGUAACAGCACCAGCACCAGCAAAUUCCUUUCUCUCUCCUCACGCGCCGCCGGGCCGGUGCCGUUGCGUCGCUUUGCUGGUCGCCUUUGUCUCGCUCUCUAGCUGGCAUUCUCGUUCUGGCACGCUCGUCCCUCACGCACAGCUUUGUCUCCACCCUCCACUGCCACUGCCAUUGCAACCGCCCCGCCGCUGGCCGUCCUCCAUCUCCCCUGACGAUCUGUGCGCGCGCCAGCGUCGCCCGACGAAGAAAGGAUCCCUGACUGACGGGAGCGACGCCAGGCCAAUCAUCAACGCGCCCCCAUUCUGCUGCGUUGCGCAUUGCGCGCGACGUGUUCGUGGAAAGGCCCGGGAGGGACGAUGAUGCGGGACCUCACCUGCUUCGGGGACGCCAGCGUCCAGAUCGCCGACGCGGCGUCCUCGUCCUCGUCCUCGGGCACCGGCGGCGGCGGCGCGCGCGGACGCGGCAAGGCCCCCGCGGCGGCGCGGAGCCGGGUCACGUGCCUCUACCACGCGCGGCUCGCCGGCCGGCCCUGCGCGCUCUCGGUCACGUGGACCAGGGGCGGCGGGCUCGCGGGGCAGGCGGCGGCGGUCAGCGUCGUCGCCGUCGACGCCGCGUCCGGGGACCGCCUGUGCCGGGCCGACGUCAAGCCGUGGCUCUUCGCCAAACGCAAGGGUUCCAAGAGCCUCGACGUCGCCGCGUCCAGCGGCGCCGCCGGCAGCACCAAAGUCGACGUGUUCUGGGACUUGUCCGGCGCCAGGUUCGGCCCCGCGCCCGAGCCGCUGGAAGGCUUCUACGUCGCGGUGGUGUGCGACCGCGAGAUGGUGCUCCUGCUCGGCGACAUGAGGAAGGAGGCGUACCGCAAGACGGGCUCUGGCCGGCCUGCCGUCGACGCGCUGCUCGUGGCCAGGAGGGAGCACGUUGUCGGCAAGAAGGUUUUCUCCGCAAUGGCUCAGUUCUGCCACCAUGGCCGGUGCCAUGACAUUGUGAUAGAGUGUGACACUGCCAGCGCGAAGGAUCCCUCUCUUGUGAUCCACAUCGACAGGCGGCCGGUCAUGCGGGUGAGGCGGCUGGCGUGGAAGUUCAGAGGGAACCAGACGAUUCUGGUGGACGGGUUGCCUGUGGAGGUGUUCUGGGAUGUCCAUGGCUGGCUCUUUGGCUCGGCAACAAGCAGCGCAGUGUUCAUGUUCCAGACAUGCCAAGCGCCUGAGAAGUCCAUGUCGUGGGCGUAUUUGCAGAUUUUUAAGGAGCAUCAGUUGCAAGGGCAUGGUUUCUCUUUGAUAAUACAUGCAUGGAAGGUUGAGUAGGAGUGUGCAGGUUCGAAUUGACUGCCACCUAUAUUCAACUUCCAAGUGUUAGUAAGAUGAUUUAGUGGGUGUGUUGUGAUCUGGAAUUUGCCGCCCCCUAUGAACUCUGUUGGCUAUUUUCUCAAGAUUAUAUGAUGUUUUGUUAAUUUUGUUAAUCCCUUCUCCCAUGUCCUGGAGGGGAUUGUCUGUCUCUGUGCUCAAAGUUUAUAAGCAUGCUACUCGCUGGCAUCAUAAUGCUGUAAUGAUGAAAAGGUGCAAGAAGUUCCAGCACACUGUUUUUAGGUGCUAGCUUGUUUACAAUUUUUGGAGGGCAAUACUCAGUAUUUUAAGAGCUGUUACUUUGCAUAUGGGCAUAUAGCUACACACUUUAUUGUUUUUAUUUGCAGCAGCUGUAAUUUCAUUAUGUGGAGAAGUGGAGCUAAUGAAGGUUGUGAAGAAACACUAGCACUUAGCAUCAUUUUUAUUUUGUAGUGCAGUUCAUCUUUUAUCUCUUUCAUGUGUUUUUAUCUCUUUUGUACCAUGUUAUGAUUUAUGAACAGCAUGAGUGCAUCAAUGCGUACAGAAAAUGACUCUACUAAUGUAUACAUGAAGGGCUCCAUACUCCUAACAAUCCCUGAAUCUGAAUAUGCCAAUUCCUUGCAGGAGAAAGUCCAAAUCAGGGUAAGUCCAAUUGAUUGGACCAGUUGCAACAUACUGCGUGGAUACAGAUCAAGUAGAUUUUCUAAAAGGUAAUACUUUUGUCACGAAACUUUUCCUUCCCCACACAAUUACUCUGCUUGGUGGCUUCAUUGUUCUAUUCCUUUCUACUAAUUUUCUACUCUGCUUGGCUAUUCAUUCAGACGGAGGGUAUGAUGGACAUACAUCAUGCUAUUCAGUCGACAAAUGGCAACAGAAUUUAAAAACCUAUUCAGACCGCUCCACUAAUUUCUCACUGGCGGUUUAUUCCUGUGGAGGAUAACUGAGGACCUAAGGCGUUACCUUUGCAUAAUCAAAGAUGGCUUCUUCUGACCAAUAGUUGGCCUUCCUCAUAGGGUACUGUACUGUUCUCUGUUUUUUUUUGUCUUAUAUUAUGCAUUAUGUCCUUUUGUCUAUGCUUCUCUUUCUCUAGGUUGAUAUUUCAAUUGACACAUUUCAGUGGAAGAUAACAUAUUGGAUGUAUAUAAGCAUUAGUUGAAACUAGUCGAUCAAGUGAUCAAGUCCAGUGGGUGACAGAACAGUUAGUAAGUUUUCAACAUCUUUGGAAACGUAUGAGCUGCAUUAUAACUCAUUUGUUUUGUUUGUUGAAUCUCAGAUCUUACUUCACAGGCAAAUCAAGAAUUGAGUCUCUUGCUUGACCAAACGCUCAAUCUGCUCGGUUGGAGUAUCUACCUUGUUUGAAAGAAGCUUAGCUUGGAGUUGGAGUCACUGAAUUAAGGUUGAAGUUGUUUGAUUGAAUGUGUAUCCUACAUAUUCUUGGUCAGAUCAUCUUAAAGCUUAUUUUAAACAUGCUAAAUUCAUACACAAUAGGAUCGUUGUUAUCACUGCUAAUAUGGCCAGAGCAAAGUUUGGCUACAUAGUCAGCUACAGAGCUGCCUGAAGAUGAUUUUUCUUAAAUUCUAAUUAGUCUGUUCGAUGCGUCUCACCUGUUUUUCAUUCAUGUAACUAGACAUACUAAAAUUCAGUUAGCUUCUUAUAUUUAAAAGUUCUGACCAAGUUCAUGAUUAAGUCAGUGAAGAAACUGUAUGACCAUCUUGGAUCCUGACAUUUGAAACGGACAGGCUAACUGACUGCAGUGAUUGUCUAAUGGUUGCCAUGGAACAGGAUGCAAAUCCAAUAAUGUUUGUAAAGUUUUUGUUAGCGCUGUUGACAACUCAAAACAUGUAAGCUCAUGUUCCUUAGCAGCCAAGUUUCCUACUUUAGGUAGUCAAAUUGGCUUUCUCUUUGUAAUUAAGCUAGCCUCUUUAGGUAGUCAAUUUGAUGUUCUCUUUGUAGAAUAUCUAGCCUUUCUUGGUAAUCAAGUUUGCUUUUGUAAAACUCUGUAAAUAGAAGGGAACACCAGGGGUGCUACUACUGCACUUUUACUUCACCCAUUUCCAGCUUUCUCUGCUCGCUGUGUUCAGUGUGCUCUCUGGUCGGUUGUGUUUGUGUGUGUGAGUUCUAAUUGGUAUCAGAGCCUGAGUUCGUAUCGGGAUCAUGUCCACCUCCUCUUCUCGCCGGAGGGCUGCCGCAACGGCAGCCGAGGCCGCGGAGCGCGAGGCACGUGAGGCUGCAGAGCGCGCGCGAGGCGCGCGAUGCUCGCAACGCCGCGGCCGAGGCGGUAGCGGAGGAGGCGGCCGAGAUGGCCAGAGCGGCAGCUGCCGCGGCUGAGGUGCAGCGGCCGCUGCCGCCGCUCUGCGUGCUGAGGAGAAUGACGACGAAGAUGGCCACAACGACCGGCGGAUCCUGCAUCACCGGCGUCGUCCUUCUCCGUCGCCUGCACCGCGCAACAGGCGUCACCACCGCCGUGACUCGCCGAUCGUCCAGCGCGUCAUCAAGGAGUCCGGUGGGAGCACGCCAUGGCCGAUGCUCACCAAGACGAACUACAACGACUGGUACCUGCUGAUGAGGGUGAAGCUGCAGGCGCGGCAGCUCUAGGACGCUGUCGCGUACGAGGACGCCGAGUACCAUGAGGACCGGCUGGCGUUGGACGCCAUCCUCGCUUCUGUCCCGACGGAGAUGAUCUCCACCCUGGCGGACAAGCCAAGCGCCAAGCACGCUUGGGACUCCCUCGCCGCGUCGCGUGUCGGCAUCGACCGCGCUCGCAAGGCCACUGUGCAGAAGCUGCGGAGGGAGUGGGAUCACCUGUCGUUCCGCCCCGGCGAGGACGUCGACGACUUCGCCCUACGCCUGUCCAGUCUGAUGCAGCAGCUGGCACGGCAUGGCGACACCGACAUCGACGAACUCAAGGCGGUGGAGAAAUACAUCCAUGUCGUCCCCAGCAAGUACGCCCAGCUCCCCCUGUCCAUCGAGACGCUUCUGGACCUUUCGACCUUGUCCAUCGAGGAGGUGACUGGGAGGCUCAAGGCAGUGGACGACCGCGACGAAGGGGUAGCCGGAGACCCUGUUUCCAUCGGCGGCAAGCUGCUGUUCACGGAGGAGCAGUGGCUGGCGCGCCAGAAGGAGAGGAAGAAGAAGCAGGACGGGUCCUCCUCGUCCAAGGACGCUCGCCAACAACCGCGCAAGAAAGGCGGGAGCGGCGACAAGCCCAGCGGCGACAAGCCUGCCGGCGGUGCGGGAGGAAAGGAGGGUGCUUGCGGUGAGCGUAAGGCUGCACGCAGCGACACCUGCCUCAACUGCGGCCGCCGCGGCCAUUGGGCCCGGGACUGCAGGCAGCCCAAGAAGGGUGCUGCGGCCAACAUGGCCCAAGCCGACGAGGACGACGAGCCCGCCCUGUGGAUGGCCCAAGCCAGCCCAGUCCUGCAGCCCGUGGCGGGAGAAAGGGGGGAGCUUUCGACUCCACCAAGUCCACCGCUGCUCCACCUCGACGAGCCGCUAGCGCACGCCUUCCUCGGCGACGGCUCCGGCGACGACAAGCUCGAAGGGUGGUACCUGGACAGCGGUGCCACGCACCACAUGACCGGGUGCUCCGGCCACUUCGGCGACCUCGACCAUGGAGUCCGGGGGUCCGUCAAGUUUGGGGACGCCUCGGCCGUGGAGAUCCGCGGCAUCGGCUCCAUCGUUUUCACCACUAAGAGCGGGGAGCACAAGCUGCUCCACGGCGUCUACUACAUCCCGGCGCUGCGCAACUUGUCGGGUUUUAUCCGGCUGCCCACCGAGGGGUAUACCCAAAGUGGUAGGUUUUGGGUUGGGAUGCGCCGAGAUCAGGAACUCGAAGGUGCAGACAACACAAGAUUUAGACAGGUUCAGGCCGCAAUAUGCGUAAUGCCCUACGUCCUGUAUGAUGGUUUGUAUUGCCUUGAUGUUGAUAUGGUGAUCUUGGUUUUGAGGGGGUCCCUGCCCGCCCUUAUAUAUCCGGGGGGACAGGGUUACAUGAAUCCUAGCCUGAUACUAGCUCAGGAACCGUACUCAAGUACAACUCGAGUAGUUUUCUUCUGUAUCGACUAGUUCUACUCCGCAUGCGGGUAGAAUACAACAUAAAUAAGGUACAGGACACGUCCUAUCCCCUAGCCCAAUAUGGACUCCUUGAUGUACACAGCCCCAUGGCCCCGGGUCUGACAAGCCCCCAAGCUCUUCGUAGCUGAGUACUCCAGGCUCUUCGAGUACUUCUGAAGCAGUCCUCGACUUCUUUCGAAGCUCCGUCUUGAAAUUUCUCUUCGAGUACUCUUCUGACUGCAUCGAAGCUAUGAGGUGCUCAUGCCCCGAAUUCUUUCUUUUGUAUGGGGUGCGAUGAAUAAUCGCACUCCAUAUGGAGUAGCCCCCAAGCCUUAGGUUGAAUCGAAGAAUCAAGCUGAGGGUCAAACUAGUCUUGAGUCUUUUCUUCUUAUCCUUCGAGCACUUUCGAAAAAUAAGUAGUCGAUGCCACGUGUCUGAUAACCCCCGAAUCUUGAAUCCAAAUCUCUCAAAUUUCGGAAAAAAGGAUCCCAAAAGUCGUGGCAAAAAUAUUCCCUAUUGAGAAAAUAUAGUUCAAGAUGAUGUAAUUGGCAGAAAUUGAACUUGAAAUUCAAAAAACCUCUUUUUUCGGGACAAUUAACCCUGAAAAAAUGGUUAAUCAAAUAACUGCCCAAAAAAUCCACCAAAAAACCGCUCGUAUUCCAAGUAUUCCCCUUGUGCGACGCUUCACCUUUUGCACAGUAAACCACUGCCUGACCGCUGGUUAUUUAACCUCGCAGUCAGUUAGGGUUCUUCCCGUACCUUCAGAUCUCACGCCGCCGCCAGAGAAAAAACAAAAACCUCAACGAAAUCUCACCCUGCUGCCACUCCUCUACCGCCCUGCAUAGUCGAAAUCCUUCGAGCCAUCGACCGUAGCCCCCGAGCGUUUCGCGAACAACUCGUAGCUUAACAGAUCCGAAAUGGCGCCGAAGAAAAUCAACGCGAAGGAACUGAAAGAGGCACAAGCGGCAACCAGCGAGUGGUCAAUUAGUAAGUGUUCUCGCCACCAUCUCGCAAAUUUAGUGCUGGGGGGUCUGCUUCAAGAGAGAAAUCUCAUCAAUUGGCGCCUUGCCCUUCGCGAUCCUUUCCCGAUGGAAAAUGUUGACGAGAUCGUAUCCUUUUGCUCUUUUUCUGAACGGGGUCUGGCCCUCCCCACUUGUUCGUUCUUCCGUGGCCUUCUUUAUUUCUAUGGGAUUGAGCUGCAACACCUCAACCCUAACUCAAUUUGCCACAUCUCAAUUUUCAUCCACUUCUGUGAAGCCUUCCUUGGAAUUGAGCCCCAUUGGGCUCUUUUCCGCUAUCUUUUCCGCAUGAAGCCCCAGCCAACCGCCAAAAAUCCAUCUGUGAUAGGGGGUGCUGGUAUCCAACUUAGGCAACAUACCAGUGAUAAAUACAUAUCUUACAAAUUUCCUUCCAAUAUCCCCGGGUGGAAACAGCAAUGGUUCUACAUUGCGAACCAUGCCCCCCAACUCCAUCGUGAGUCUCGGUCAGCUCGACGAGCAUGGCGCAAAGGUCCAGAUCGCCCAAGGGGUGCUCCAAAUCUGGGUCCGUGAAGGUCGUCUUCUCACCAAGGUCAAGCGGGGGCACAACCACCUCUACAUCCUCCACCUGCAGGUGGUCCGGCCAGUCUGCCUUGCCGCUUGUCGUGACGAUGAGACCUGGUUAUGGCACGAGCGGUUCGGGCACCUGCACUUCGACGUGCUGCGGAAGCUCGGGUGCGAGGGGAUGGCGCGUGGGAUGCCCCGGAUCGACCACGUCGAGCAGCUGUGCGACACCUGCGUCGUGACCAAGCUCAAGCGGCGGCCUUUCCCACAGCAGGCAGCGUACCACGCGCAGGAGCAGCUCGAGCUCGUCCACGGUGACCUCUGUGGUCCCGUCACGCCGGCGACACCCAGAGGGCGACGCUUCUUCCUGCUGCUCAUCAACGACGCGUCCCGCUUCAUGUGGGCUAUGCUGCUUCCAACGAAGGCAGCCGCAGUGGAUGCCAUCAAGCACAUCCAAGCUGCAGCCGAGAUGGAGUCCGGCCACAAGCUGCGGGUGCUGCGCACCGACAAUGGUGGCGAAUUCACAUCGGCUGAGUUUGCCGCCUACUGUGCCGAUGAGGGCAUCAAGCGGCAUUUCUCCGCGCCGUACACGCCACAGCAGAACGGCGUGGUCGAACGCCGAAACCAGACGGUGGUGGCCACCGCUCGGGCCUUGCUCAAGCAGCGGGGCAUGCCUGCGGAUUUUUGGGGUGAGGCGGUGAUGACGGCGGUGUUCCUGCUCAACCGGUCGCCGACCAAGAGCCUCGAAGGGAAGACGCCGUAUGAGGCAUGGCAUGGCCACACGCCGGCGGUUGCCUACCUCCGCACCUUCGGCUGCCUGGCUUAUGUCAAGGAGCUGAGCCACGUCGGCAAGCUCGACGAUCGAAGCACUCCGGGAGUCUUCAUCGGCUACGCGGACAGCGUGAAGGGGUACCGCAUCCUCGACCCAGCGACUCGGCGCGUGCGCACGUCACGGGACGUCGUGUUCGACGAAGGGCACGGCUGGGACUGGUCCAAGGAGGCCAUUGGUGGCAAGGAUGGGUCACAGGGCGACUUCACAGUCAAGUUCGUGCAGCUCGGAGGAGCCGGGGGAGCAGCGGGCAGCUCAGCAUCAGGCACGCCUGCUCCUGCACCAUCACCAGGCCCGCCGCUGGCAUGUGGGUUUGGCAGUCCGGCACCAGCCACGCCGGUAGCAUCACCGGCUCCCGACGGCCAGAGCACACCGGCGUUUGUCAGUCCGCUGGCAGACGACGCUGAUCGUAUUGAUGCAGCGCACGACGACACCCCGCUCUGCUACCGUACCGUCGACAACAUCCUUGGUGAUCAAGCAGUGCCAGAGUAUGUCCAGCGGAACAUGGACGCUGAGCUCCACCUCACGCACAUGGGGGAGCUGUGCUCUUUCGCUGAAGCGGAAGGAGACGCAGCAUGGCGUGCUGCGAUGCAGCAGGAGAUGGACUCCAUCGAGCACAACAGUACGUGGAGCUCGUGGACCUGCCAGCCGGACAUCGUCCGAUCACCCUGAAGUGGAUCUUCAAGCUGAAGAAGAACGAGGCGGGGGAGGUGGUCAAGUACAAGGCCAGGCUCGUUGCUCGUGGCUUCGUCCAGCAGGAGGGGAUCGAUACGACGACGCCUUCGCGCCGGUGGCACGCAUUGAGUCCAUCCGUAUGCUCCUCGCGCUCGCUGCACAGAAGGGGUGGCGCGUCCACCACAUGGACGUCAAGUUGGCAUUCCUCAACGGCGACUUGAAGGAGGAGGUGUACGUGCGGCAACCUCCCGGUUUCAUCAUUGCCGGCAAGGAGGGCAAGGUGCUGCGCCUUCGAAAGGCGUUGUACGGCCUCCGGCAAGCACCGCGCGCCUGGAACAUCAAGCUGGACGCCACGCUCAAGGAGAUGGGUUUUCAGCAGAGUGUACACGAGGCGGCGGCGUACCGGUGUGGCAUGGGGCGUUCUGUCCUGUUGAUCGGCGUCUACGUGGACGACCUGGUCAUCACCGGCACCAACGAGGCAAAGGUGAGAGCCUUCAAGAUGCAGAUGAUGGACAAGUUCCAGAUGAGCGACCUUGGGCUCCUCUGUUUCUACCUCAGCAUCGAGGUCCGGCAGGACAACACCGGCAUCACGCUCCGUCAAGCACACUACGCCAAGCGCAUCGUCGAGUUGGGUGGCAUGGAGGGCUGCAACCCCGCCCACACUCCGAUGGAGGAGCGGCUCCAGCUGAGCCGCUACAGCGAGGCAGAGGAGGUCGACGCGACUCAGUACCGUCGCAUCGUCGGCAGCUUGCGCUACCUGGUGCACACCUGGCCGGAUGUGGCGUUCGCCGUCGGGUACAUGAGCCGGUUCAUGGAACGGCCCACAGCAGAGCACCAGUCGGCCAUCAAGAGGAUUCUUUGCUACAUCGCGGGCACGAUCGACUACGGCCUGCACUUCGAGAGGCAUUCCGGAGCAGCGCACUUCGUCGGCUACUGUGACAGCGACCUCGCCGGCGACAUCGACGCCAGCAAGAGCACGAGUGGCAUGCUGUUCUUCCUCGGCAGCAGCCUCGUGAGCUGGCAAUCACUCAAGCAACAAGUGGUGGCACUCUCUAGCUGCGAAGCAGAGUACAUCGCUGCCACCUCCGCCGCAACUCAGGCGCUGUGGCUGGCUCGUCUGAUGGGCGAGCUGCUCGGCAAGAAGGCUGAGGCGGUCGAGCUGCGGGUAGACAGCAAGUCUGCCCUGGCAUUGGCCAAGAACCCCGUAUUCCAUGGGAGAAGCAAGCACAUCCGGAUUAAGUUCCACUUCAUCAGAAGCUGCUUGGAAGAGGGGAGUGUGAAGGCCAACUACAUCAACACCGUGGAUCAGCUCGCCGACAUUCUCACCAAACCACUUGGGCGAGUCAAGUUUCAAGAUAUGCGCUCCCGCAUUGGUUUAAUCCACAUCAAGUCGGAGAAGGGUACAUGAGGCUUAGGGGGAGAAUUGUUGACAACUCAACACAUGUAAGCUCAUGUUCCUUAGCAGCCAAGUUUGCUACUUUAGGUAGUCAAAUUGGCUUUCUCUUUGUAAUUAAGCUAGCCUCUUUAGGUAGUCAAUUUGGUGUUCUCUUUGUAGAAUAUCUAGCCUUUCUUGGUAGUCAAGUUUGCUUUUGUAAAACUCUGUAAAUAGAAGGGAACACCAGGGGUGUUACUACUGCACUUUUACUUCACCCAUUUCCAGCUUUCUCUGCUCGCUGUGUUCAGUGUGCUUUCUGAUCAGUUGUGUUUGUGUGUGUGAGUUCUAACAAGCGCUAGCCUGAAGUACAGAAUUCUUCGUAGAUCAUACUGUCUCAGUAAUUGUAUCUAGAUUCUAUACAUCAUUUUCCAGAGAAGCGACUACCAAAUGGUAGCAUAUGAGAAUGACUCUGCCCAUGCAGUUGUUAUCUCAGGAUCUUGUUACUACUUACUGGCAAGCAGGCGAGUUGCCGAUGAUAUCGGCACUAUAGAGUGCUUACUUCAAUAUGCAAGUGUUAAGGUUUUGGUUGAUGAACCCUGAGCCGAUUUUCUCACUUAUCAGCAGCAAAAUAUCUCUUCAAGUUAUGCUAUAAUUUCAAAUUCCUGGUUGGAUAAACAGUGUAUUUUGUAUAGGAGCCAGGGAUCAGCUCCUAAUUUGUCAACAAUACACAAUAAGGAGUGAUAGGAGUGGCAUUUGUCCCAUAAUUCGACAGUGCCAAAUCAGUCCCUGCUGUUGAUUUUCAUGUGCAGCAAGAAGAAUUACUAUAGUUACGACAUUGGAUAUCAUGAUUUUGCUGGAGCUGUUCUCAUUUGUUCAGAAUCAUAUUGAAAAGAUAAAAGAAGUUACUGUGCCUUUUCUUCUUCUUUUUUUCUCGAAUACGCAGUGCUGUUAAUUUCUUUUUUUUCUUUUUUCUUUUUGUUGUUACUAGUUGUGAUGUAGCAUCGCUUUAUUCUUGCAAGUCACACAAACUGCUGUUCAUGAAGUUUCAUGCGCUGGGACGGUGAUGGAACACAAAAACCUUGACAUUUUUGCCUAGUCUGGACCAGACAGAUGUGAACUGAUGGUAUUGCUGUGGGCCUGUUCAGAUUAACCAUCAACAGCACACGUGCCCAAUAAACUUUGUUCAAGAAGAAGAAGACCAAUGGACAAAACUGUAAUUGGCAAGGUUGAGUUUUACCCAAUCAGUAAUCGGAGUAGUUUGCAUUUCUUUGCUAUCACACGACAUUCUAGAAGAACAAGCAAACACAGAACAGAGACCCCUGCUAGUCGACAUCUAGACCUUUUCCUUUUUUUGAUUGAUGAACCUGUUCGAACCUUUUUACUGUUCUCCUCGGUUUCUCUUUUGUUGCUACCCUACCCUAUUCAAAGAAUACAAAAAUCUCACCAGCUCAAACAAUUUUUUUUACCUUCCUGAUCUUACAUGCAUAUACUAACUCAUCGCUUCAAAAAAAUUGUUUGUGUAAUUUGGGACGGCCAUUCACUUGUUUGUACCUCAUCAACAAGCAUUCAGAGCACCACCUCAUGCUUUCUUCUUUGCAGUUUGAAGAAGCCAAUGCAAGUCUUCGUCAAGGGCUGCACAAAUACACACUGACAAGAGCAGCAUACCAACAACACAAUAGACAGCAUCACAAAGGUAUGAGAGUACAAUAUCUAUUCAAAACAUUGAUGAUCACAUAAUACAAACAAGUCACUACUGACAUUUAGUAUUAAAUUUGUUAAUGCAUUCCUUUCGGGCACUAGCUUGUAUAAUAGUCCCAAAUCACACCAACAAACCCGUAGCGCUGCAAAUAUUAAACCAAAAGCUAUGACCAUGAGUGCUUGUUCAAAGACAUUGUUCUUUCCUUUAACAAAGGGGAAACCAAGAUACCGCAUAAAACAUAAGCAUGGCGGCAAAGACUGACCAAACGGCACCCGCCUUCGAAGUACCAAAAUUAUAAAGUUUAUAGCCUGCAGAAGAUCACAAAAUAAAUAAAAAAAUCAGAAUCACACAGACAUAACCACACAUACAACAUUCUGGUGUGGUACUACCUUACUUGCAAAAUUAGUAUUCUUUUUUGGGGGUUAGGUUAAAGGGUGCGAAAUCGCGGUUCCAAUGGGGAAAGCGAGGGGGAGGUAGGAAGGAGUGAGGAGCAGAAAGGGACAAGAUACCAGAAUAGAUUGCAGGGGACACCACGAUUGGGCUGCAAGGAACGAAGCAACAACAAUGUGGCCGGGGUGACGGUACAGUGCAAUAGACUUCACCCCUACCCCGUGCCAAAUGCAACGCCACCUGAUGGGUACCCCCUCUCUACCCUCCCCCUCUCCCUCCACCACCUGCCUAUUUCCUCCGGGCGUUUUGGCGUAGGAGCCCGGCAGCCACAGCGUUCCUCGUUGCCAUCUGCUCAAUGGGGUGGCUCCACUCCCUCUUCUCCCCUCUCAGGAGGAUGUGGGUUCGGGCGCAUUCGGAGCGCCGGAACCGUAAGUCCUCUAUCCAUCUCUGCUUGUGAUCACCUUCCUACGAUCGCAUCCGGCUUUCGAUCUUAAUUUGUUAUGGUGUUGGUGCACUGCAAACAUGUUUCUUUCUUCAUUUGUAGCAUGUUUUUCUUCCUUCUGUCUGAACAUUUCUUUUUAGAACUUUUCUCUGAACUUUCUUGCAUUCGGUGACAUGGUUUCAGCGGUGCUGCAUCUGAUGCUUUUCUUUGGCAGGGAGGGGAAUGCACCUCCUGUACAAGGACGUGCAGUCCUGCCAGGACGAGGACGUGCAGGUCCUGUGGUCGAUCCUUAUCGACUCGCACCGCCACCCGGCGCUCCGCAAGCUCAAGCUCUGAAACUCUGGAGGAGCAGCCAGCAACGGCGUGUAUUUAUGUGUGAGGGCAGCACCACUCCCUUGCCUAGGCCUCCCUAGAGUUCCCAUCCUAUGGUAUUGUUCGGCUUCGAUGAGGAUCCUCAUUGGCCAUUACCGCCUUCGCCUUCCGAAACCCGAAAACCGAAAAAAAAAUCCAGAGGUUGAAGAAGAAGAAGAGGAGAGAGAGAGAGAGGUUUGUAUGAUUUUUCCCCCCUUUGUGUUUGGUUUGAAAAUGUUCCAGUGAGGUUGAGAUGCCUCCCACCUGUACUCUGUGUGUUUGAGCUUGAAAAAUGAGUGUGAGGUUGAGCUCUCUGUACAUAGACACAUGACUUGCUCAAGUGCCUUACCUUGGAUUGUGUUGUGGAGUAUUGUACAGUUGUGUGUAUGGGAGGCUGGUUGUUAGGGUGUAUCUGUCCCUGCUUUUUUUUUUAUUAAAUCGCCUGUCGAUUUCUUGGUGCCCUGAGGUGUCUCUUGCUCUCUCGCACGAAUGGCUGACAAGUGGUCGUGCUCGGGCAUUUUGGACUAGAAUAUAAAGUGUAUCGAUCAAUUGUUUCUCAACGCAUGGGAUCCAAAGUCGUAGGGGACAAUUUGGCUUUAUGCCUUGUAUUUGUUU
rnacentral:lncRNA from 1 species